GGCCUCCUUGUGCUUACCACAAAGAGGAGGCAGAAUAAACCUACCCUGUGUAUAUCUCAGCCUAGGCCACUCACUGUGCCUGGUCUGUAUUGUGAAUGGGUAAACAUGG
ensembl:snoRNA LOC120094895 small nucleolar RNA SNORA51